rnacentral:rRNA from 1 species
GAUUAUGGCUCAGGACGAACGCUGGCGGCAUGCCUAACACAUGCAAGUCGAACGGAGUAAUGACUUCGGUUAUACUUAGUGGCGAACGGGUGAGUAACACGUGAAUAAUCUGCCCUGUACGAUGGGAUAACAGCUGGAAACGGCUGCUAAUACCGUAUAUGACCACGCCGAGGCAUCUCGGAGGGGUGAAAGCGCUUAAGCGGUACAGGAUGAGUUCGCGUCCAAUUAGCUAGUUGGUGAGAUAACGGCCCACCAAGGCGACGAUUGGUAGCCGACCUGAGAGGGUGAUCGGCCACACUGGAACUGAGACACGGUCCAGACUCCUACGGGAGGCAGCAGUGGGGAAUAUUGGGCAAUGGAGGAAACUUCCUUACCCAGCAAUGCCGCGUGAGUGAUGAAGGUCUUCGGAUUGUAAAGCUCUUUGAUUGGGGACGAAUAAAUGACGGUACCCAAGGAACAAGCCCCGGCUAACUAUGUGCCAGCCGCCGC